UUAAAAGUCGAGGUAGUGAAAAUUGUAUAAAAAGCAUGUGUGAUUUUUGAGUAAUUCUUGUUUCUAAUUCUUUUAGUUAUAGUUAUUCCUUAAAAGCUAAUUGUUAAAAAGCUUAAAAUAAAGUGUUAGUAGUGCAGUUAGUAAAUUAUUAAAGGGUGCUGUGUGGCUAAUAAAAGCGGUUCGCAUUCCAAGGGAAUUGCGUGCAAUUGAACCUAGUGGAAAAAGGCCUAACGAGGCCUUUUUCCAUUUGUUUAGGCCAGUCGUCUGGAUUUCCGGGAGAAACUGGUCCCAAAC